AUUGAACGCUGGCGGCAGGCCUAACACAUGCAAGUCGAACGGGUGGCGGACGGGUGAGCAAUGUCUGGGAACCUGCCUGAUGGAGGGGGAUAACUACUGGAACCGGUAGCUAAUACCGCAUACCAUCAGAUGUGCCCUGGUGGGAUUAGCUUGUGGGUGGGGUAACGGCGCACCAAGGCGACGAUCCCUAGCUGGUCUGAGAGGAUGACCGGCCACACUGGAACUGAGACACGGUCCAGACUCCUACGGGAGGCAGCAGUGGGGAAUAUUGCACAAUGGGCGAAAGCCUGAUGCAGCAAUGCCGCGUGUAUGAAGAAGGCCUUCGGGUUGUAAAGUACUGUCGGCGGGGAGGCGUUACCCGAAGAGAAAGCACCGGCUAACUCCGUGCCAGCAGCCGCGGUAAUUC
rnacentral:rRNA from 1 species